rnacentral:lncRNA from 1 species
UGUUUCUGUUGGUGCUGAUAUUGCUUUUGAUGCCGACCCUAAAUUUUUUGCCUGUUUGGUUCGCUUUGAGUCUUCUUCGGUUCCGACUACCCUCCCGACUGCCUAUGAUGUUUAUCCUUUGGAUGGUCGCCAUGAUGGUGGUUAUUAUACCGUCAAGGACUGUGUGACUAUUGACGUCCUUCCCCGUACGCCGGGCAAUAAUGUUUAUGUUGGUUUCAUGGUUUGGUCUAACUUUACCGCUACUAAAUGCCGCGGAUUGGUUUCGCUGAAUCAGGUUAUUAAAGAGAUUAUUUGUCUCCAGCCACUUAAGUGAGGUGAUUUAUGUUUGGUGCUAUUGCUGGCGGUAUUGCUUCUGCUCUUGCUGGUGGCGCCAUGUCUAAAUUGUUUGGAGGCGG